rnacentral:lncRNA from 1 species
CUCUUAGUUUCACAGAAAAUGAAAAUGUAAAACCAUCCAUAAUGAAGUAGGUUUGAAUUCUGGAGAUAUGAGGAGAGAUUUCAUACCCACAGACGAUGUAUUUAUCCAUAAUUAGUCCAUAAUAAAGUGGGUUUCCUGAUGUAUGAUGGUAUGCUGGUUGCAUUUCUUAUCAUUUCUCAAAACUGCUAUGUUAGAAUUAGUUGUAGGAAAUUUAGUGGAGCGUAGAGACAAUCACUCACAUAGGGUAUAAUGGGGUAACCCUAUUAUACCCCAUUAUACGAUUUUAUUGUUUCGGCCUCAAAACGGUUUUAGAUUAAGUCACUUUGCGAAAAAUUUACUGCCUAAGUUUUGAAUAGUUGACAAAAUCCGUUAGCUCUUUUGUAAUUGAAAAUUUUGCUCUACUCUUUAUAUAUAUAUAUUUCUUUACUACCCACAAGGGGCUAAACAAGGACAGACAAAUGGAUUAAGUCGAUUACAUCGACUCCAGUGCGUAACUGGUACUAAAUUUAUCGACCCCGAAAGGAUGAAAGGUAAAGUCGACCUCGGCGGAAUAUGAACUCGGAACGUAACGACAGACGAAAUACGGCUACGCAUUUCGCCCGGCAUGCUAUCUCUUUAUAUAUAUAUCAGUUGGUUAGCAACACUGAUUUCUAAGAAAUCUGACUGGUAUUUUCAAGCCAGUUAGACGUUUAUUUGGAGUAGCGUUUCUCACACUGACAAAUACCAAUCCCACCCACGAAAAAAGUAUUAUUGAAACUUUGGCAUAUCUACGCAAAUGUGCCCCUUCGACUUUGUUUUCUCAUAACUUCCACAGAAAUGAGUAUUUUUUAAUGAAAUCUUUUACAAAUACGCUUCAGAUGGUGUAGAUUACGAUUAUAUAGGAAUUUGUGAAAAAAAAAAAAAAAACAAUCCUGAGGGUGCGUUGAGGAGUUUCUGAAAAUUCACACGAAUUGGCGUUGUUUCAUCAAAACUUUCAGAAAAUGGGUAAUUUUUAAUGAAAUUUUCUACAAAUAAUUUUCAAAGUAUGUAGAUUACAAUUAUAUCGGAAUUUAAUAAGAAAAAGAAAACUGGUGGACUCAUACACAUACAUACUGACACACAUCACGCAUAUUUACAAAAUGCAACAUGAAAUUCCUAAAAAAUAUUGUGAUGCGUGUCAGUAUGUCUGCGUACAAGUCCACCAAUUUUCAUUUUCAUAUUAAGUUCCGGUACAAUCGUUAUUUACACACAACGAAAGGUAUUUGUAGAAAAUUUCAUUAAAAGAUAUCCAUUUCUCUGGAAGUUAUGAGAAAACAAAUUAAGUGGGGCAUGCUUGUGUAGGUAUGCCUAAACGUUUUCAACCCCCGUCCCUUCUUCCAUUUAUUUCUAUAUUAAUGGGAAGACAGAGUGUUGGCGUCUAUAUCAUACUUUUUGGUCCGCUAUUGCGAUAGUACAAAAUUAAAAGUUGGCAAGACUUCCGCCUGUCCCCCCCCCCCAAAAGAAAACCAUUAAAAAAUUUUGUUUUUCGAUACACCCCUCCCUCAUUCUCGGAUACGAAUCUGCAUAAAAAUUGGCAAAAAUCGAGAUUUCUAAUUUAUCCCCACCUCACCCCAUUUCCUUCAUUUUAAACUUUUUUUUUCUUCAAAAUAUGCGGAAAAAUACGGACAUCAUGAUUCGGACAAAAAUUUCAAAACAUUUCUGUACUUACGGUUACGGUUUUAGGGUUAGGGUUAGGGUUGGUGUUUUAGGGUUAGGGUUUAAGGGUAAGUUUUUUAGGGUUAGGGUUAAGGUUAGGGCUUCAGGGUUAGGGUUAGGGUUUUAGAGUUAGUGUUGUGGAAAAAAGUCAAAAUUGAAGAAGUUGGGGGAAAGAGGGGAUGGGGAAUUUUCACAAUGCCGAUUUUUGGCAGUUUUCCGGAACCUCCGUAUUCGAAAACGGGGAUUUUUCGCAAAAAAAAAAAAUUACAAAAAUAAACAAAUUUGGGAGAAAAUUGUGGGGCGGGAGGCGAAGAAGUCUUUCCUAAAAGUUCUAAAACAACAAUUUGUAUGCGUUCCUUUUAAUUCUCACAGCCCCUUUCAUUAAUGAGAAAUACUGUUUAGAAGUACUUUUGUUGGCUCCUGCUUAUAUUUACUUCAUGUUGGUUUCUCUUUCUAUUUGCACAUGUGCUUAUAUAAAUGUGUGUGUGUGUACGCGCGCGUGCGUAUGUCUAUAUGUGUAUAUGUCUAUGUAUGUCUCUGUGUGUACGAGCGAAACGACAUUUGAACGGUUUUCACAGACGAUAAGCUAUUAGUCUAGAUAGAGUCUAGACAAUACGUCCAUUAGUCUAAAUUUAUCGACCGACAUUCCACAGCUGAGUCAAAUAAUAUUUUAAAACCGGGCAGCCCAAACAUUACCAGUGAAAUAAGGAAACUGUGCAGAGGCCUGUCGGAUGGAUGGAUUGAUACAAAAUGAAUCGAUGUCUCUUUCCCUCACUCCUCUAUCAGAGGUCACAGCUAAAGCUGGAGCCAGGGAUCCGUAGUAGGCUUCCUAGUCAGCUGGUAUAUACUGUGAAUUCUCUGUCUGGAACUUUCCUGCAUACACACCUUGUCUCUGAUGAAGGGAUGCCUAGUGUAUGAGUGUGUUCACCCAUUACGUUGGAUAUCCCAGGAGCUGCUGCAAGACAUUAAUCAUUUCUACUUCUCCUUUUUUGAUUCACCUUUACUCUAAUUAAAUAUUCUAAGUGACCUGAGAUGCUCGUCCUGCCUUGGUUUUGUUUUCCUUUUCCUUCAAUAUGUAUGUAUGUAUGUAUGUAUGUAUGUAUGUGUCAGGUCACUUUCGAGUGCAACUGAUAACAUGUAACCCAGUACAACCUGUUGCAUGGUCGGGUCGUCGGCGACUAAACCGGCAACCCCACCAAGCUUGCUUGGUGAGGAGGAUGUUUAUUGGACACCCUGCGGGAUGAAAAACAAAACCCGUCAAAGGGUGGAGGAACUCUUGAGAGUCAACGGCCAUCCAAUAAAUGUCUUAAAGCUGUAUCAUGCGCGGGGACAUAGAAAUAAUCGGACUGAAUACCCGAUCGCGCGAUUAAACCAUUGGGAGUGAAGGACUCCUAGCCUUUGUUAGGGCAUCCUUCUAGGAGAAGGUAACUCAGGUAACUGGGAUAACUCCGAUAUAAAAACUGCGGCUCAGUGGUUACCGAUGAUGUUGACUUGUUCUUCUUUUCGGAUUAUGGCUGCUGUUGCUUAGUGAGUGGGAUUGACUCAGUGCACAGCCUUUCCUCACUUUAAAAAAAGAUCUUCAUGCACAGGCAUUGCACGAUAACAACAUUGAUUAAGCUUCGUGCAAUGGCCAUACUCGAUAACCAGGGGGUAGCCACCAUGUAUGUAUGUAUGUAUGUAUGUAUGUAUGUAUGUAUGUAUGUAUGUAUGUAUGUAUGUAUGUAUGUAUGUAUGUAUGUAUGUAUGUAUGUAUGUAUGUAUGUAUGUAUGUACUUUUAUUAAAGCUGCAAAAUGUUCACAGAACUGUUACUCAGCGUGUUUCAUCCAUAGCUAUCCGACGAACGGGAACAUGAAUUCUAAGUAACAGUUUCGGGAAAAUUUUGCAGCUUUAAUAAAAGCAUAUUACUCUACUUUUGGUAUUCGAGUACUAUUUUUCCCCACCUUGUUUUGCACUAUCUGCUUACUUGUGUGUGUGUGUGUGUGUGUGUGUGUGUGUGUGCGUGUGCGUGCGCGCGCGUGUGUGUGUGUGUGCGUGCGUGCGUGUGUGUGUGUGUGUCUGCGUUUGUGUCUGCGUUUGUGUCUGUGUUAGUCCCCAUCACCGCUUGACGACCGGUGUUGGUUUGUUUACGUCGCUGUGUAUGUACGUAUGUAUAUAUGUAUGUACUUAUGCAUGUAUAUAUGUAUGUAUGUAUGUAUGAAUGAAUGAAUAUAUAUAUAUAUAUAUAUAUAUAUAUAUAUAUAUAUAUAAAGGCUCCUUCUCGUGGUACUGAACCCGAAACUAGGUAGUUGCAAAGAGAGCACCUUCACUACACAGCCAUGCCUGCGCCUAUACCUUGAUUUUCUAUUAAAUCGAAUCUUCUACUAUUAUUAAGUUAACAUCUACUAUACAUUAUAUAAAUGUUCAUCGAUCCUGUACCUGACUGGUACCUUAUUUUAUCAAUCCUGGAAGGUCGAAUGCGAGGGUAGAAUUGUAAGUUAGAUUGUACAAGUUUGAAACUAAAUACCAAAAUAUAUGGAAAGGACUUUUAUUUGUAUUUUCGAAAUAGUGCAAGUUUGUACACUUCUGAUAAAAGAAGACGAAACAAAUGCUAUUCUUUUAUUCUUUUAGUCAUUUGACUACGGCCAGGACUUAAUCUUUGUAAGCCUAAUACUUAUUCUAUCGGUUUCUGUUACCGAACCACUAAGUUACGGGGACGUAAACACAUCAACAUCGGUUGAGAAGCGAUGGUGUUGGGACAAACACACACACAUGAUGGGCUUCAGUUUCCGUGUACGAAAUCCACUCACAAGGCUUCGGUGGGUCCGCGAAGACACUUGCCCAAGGUGCCACGCAGCGGGACUGAACCCAGAACCAUGUGGCUGGUAAGCAAGCUACUUACCACGCAGCCACUGUUACAUGGACAAAAAAAUUGCUAAUUCGUUCAUUAUAUUUUAAAGAAAAAUCUUUCCACUGCACUUCCAUUAUUUGCCUCGGUUUACAUGAGUUAUUAUUUCCACUAGAGAUCCUCAACGAAUCAAAACAACGAAUUUGAUAGACCAUCAAAUGUCUCGCUAAUUUUGUAUGUCAGGCUCUGUGAGAAGCUUCUCAAAUCACUCCCUCUGGACAUCAGGAACUAUGACAAUCUAUCGACGUAGUCUGAAAAGUCUAUCGAGGUCAGUUCGAAUCAAAAUUGUUCCGGAAACAGCUGUAGCUCAGUAUCGCGCAGAGAGUCCCCCCACCUCAUCACUGUCUAACAACACUGAUUUUCUAUGUCUCUAUGGCAACGGAGCUUGACCGGUGUAACUUGGUGCAGCGAUAGUUGAAUAUGAUAUAGGAAGUCUACGUUAGUCAUAUGACACAGAUGGUGUACGUUUGUCAUAUGACGUAGCAGAGUAAUGCAGGCAUAUGAUACAGGAGGACAUUGUUUGUAUGAUAUGAACGGGUAGUUCGGUUAUAGGAUAACAAAGAUAAGAGUACCUCAGCCAUAAAACAUGGAGAACCGUGUGUGUGUGAGUGAGUGAGAGAUAGAUAGAUAGAUAGAGAGAGAGAGAGAGAGAGAGAGAGAGAGAGAGAGAGAGAUUUCUUUAUUCAGUAUUUCUUUAUUCACCAUAAGGUUGAGAAAAAGAGGGGACAAAACAAACGUUGGGGUCAGGGUAUCGAAUGAGACGAAACAUGAAUAAACAAGCAAUUAAAAUAUAUACAAUUAAAUGAGAAUGAGUGAAUAACAAAAAAUGAAGCGGUUGACCCCACAAACCACAUACUCACACUGAAGACUUUGCUUUCUCCUUUUUCACAUUCUUGAUUAAACAGGUUCUUUCACUCGCAACAUACUUGCUAUAGAUUUCCAUCUUUUACGAAACACACUUUGCGACAGCCUUAUUUUCCGUUUCAUGUGAGAGAGAGAGACAGAGACAGAGAGAGAGAGAGAGAGAGAGAGAGAGAGAGAGCUUAGCGGCAUUUUUUUCCGGCUCUUUACGUUCUGAGUUCAAUUCCCGGUGAAAUUGAUUUUGCCUUUCAUCUUCCUCGGGGGGGGGGCGAUAAAAUAUGUACCAGCUGAGUAUCGGGAUCGAUAUAAUCGACGUAGCUCUCCCGCCAAUAAUAAACACGCCUUGUGCCAGUAGUUUAGUUAAUGGUUGUAAAGUUUUCAACUUAUUAAUAUUUGUUGAUCGCAACAGAUGUGUCACCGGUUUUCGAUGACGAGGCGGGGUUUGAACUCAAAAUGUACUGAGACAGAACAUCUAUCUAUCUAUCUAUCUAUCUAUCUAUCUAUCUAUCUAUCUAUCUAUCUAUCUAUCUAUCUAUCUAUCUAUCUAUCUAUCUAUCUAUCUAUCUAUCCAUCCAUCCAUCCAUCCAUCCAUCUAUCUAUCUAUCUAUCUAUCUAUCUAUCUAUCUAUCUAUCUAUCUAUCUAAUUUCAAGUCUGUUUGCCUCUCUCCCUAUAUAUAUAUAUAUAUAUAUAUAUAUAUAUAUAUAUAUAUGUAUAUAUAUAUGUAUGUGUGUGUGUGUGUAUGUAUGUAUGUAUGCAUGUAUGUAUAUAUAUAUAUAUAUAUAUAUAUAUAUAUAUAUAUAUAUAUAUAUAUAUAUAUAUAUAUAUAUAUAUAUAUAUAUAUAUAUAUAUAUAUAUAUAUAUAUAUAUAUAUAUAUAUAUAUAUAUAUAAUAUAUAAUCAGGCUAAGUAAAAAGUAAGCAACGUUUUGAAACAUGUAAUUCAUCACAAUAUAUUUCAACAAUGCGGAAAUUUUAUUCAUCAAAGUAAGUACCAUUACAAUCAACACAUUUUUGCCAACGAAUUACAAGUUUGUUUAUUCCGGUCGCAUAAAAAUCUGGAGUUCUGGAGCUGAUGAACUCCUUGAACGCACUUUCAGCAUUGGUUUGAUUUUUUAACUCCUUCUCUCCCAGGAAACCAUCAAGGUACUUGAGAACGUGGUAGUCGGUAGGAGGAAGGUCUGGGGAAUAAGCUGGGUGGGAAAGAACUUCAUAGCAAAGUUCCCUCAGCUUCUGGAGUGUCAUUAGUGAAACGUGUGGUCGAGCAUUAUCAUGAAAAAUGACUAGGGACGGAGAAGUAGCAGUUUUCCGUUCAUUUUGGAAAUUUCAUGGCAAUAUGUUUCUGCAGUAAUGGUUUUUCCGGAUUUUAAGAAGUUACAGUGGAUAAGUCUAGCAGUACACUAUCAAACGGUCCCUGUAACGUUCUUUUUGAAGAGCUCGGGUUUAGGGAAGGUUUUCGGUGCUUCAUUUUGGCCCAACCACUGUGAAGAACGUUUUUUUAUUAUUGUACAGAAUCCAAUUUUCAUCGCAAGUUACAAUACGGUCGAGAAAUGGAUCGGUUUGAUAACAGAAAAAAAGCGACGAGCAAAUUUUAUAUCUGCGCAUUUUCUGAUUUUCUGAUUUUCAUUCAAUCGUGUGAUACCCAUUUGUCGAGCUUUUUUGAUUUUCCGAUCGCAUGCAAAUGGUUGCAGGCAGUUUUCUAGUUAACUUGAAGUUCUUUUGCCAGUUGUCGAGUGGUUUUACCUGGACCUUUACGGUCUUUAAUUAACAGUCAUCGAUGACAGAUGGGCGUCCACUACGCUCAUUAUCUUCAAGACUCAGGUCUCCACUGCGAAAUCGUUUAAAUCAUUUUCCAGCUGACCACUCACUAGCCAUUUCCUCACCAAAUAUUUCGUUGAUAUCGCGAGCAGUUUCACGUCCUCUUUUGAAGUUGAAUAGCAAAAUUGCUCCAGAUGAUUGUAACAACGAUUUCUUUAUUGUCCAUAGGGAGACAAACAUAGAGUGACAGUACACAAAUGGACAAAAACACAAAAGUGUGGGGAAAAAAUAAAACGAAUGAAAAGCAUAGUAUAAAAAAUGAAUGGAUGAAAUGAAGGCCAGUCGGACCCCACAAUCCAAGUGACCUCAUUGAACCUUUUUAAAAGCAAUUUAUCAUUUAAUAUGUUCAUGGUAAGUUCUUUUAAAAAUUCAUGAUAGCUUAUCGUUGAUUGCACGCCCCUGGUGUCAAUUUCCUUUUGUGAGAAAAUGACAUUUCUCCCGUAAUUCUCACAUAAUCUUUGCAAGUUCUUUCUGUCCAUUAAUACACAUAUAACUUGCAAGAUCACUCCUUCACACCAUUCAAUAUCGAUUUUUAUCACCUCGUCCAGAUUCUUUAUUUCUUCGCACAACUCAUCGAGUGACUCAUUGUAAAAAACAAUGCGACUUUUUUCACAGGGUUGGGGUUGGAAAAUUUGGGGCUCUUGUGUGUUUGUAGCUAUAAUAUCAGUGUCUGGUGGGUCAGGGUAAGGGUUGGUGUCUGCAGAGGGAUGGCGGGUCAGAUUAGAGCGGGAUGGGGGUUAGGUGGGGGUUAGGAUGGGUGUUAACAUCAAUACCCUGAGUUCUUCCCUUUUUUCUCUUUUCCGGUUUACUGUCUUCAAUUCUUCUGUUUUCCUCGAUUUGUGCCGCCUUGUCAUGCUCUUUGCCGGGUUCCUCCACACUCCCUCCUGUACCACUUCUCAUUGCAGGAGAUGAUGUGCGAUUUUCUUUCGGGCCUGUAGUACUACUGGUGUCUUUGUGGUCGGUGGAGGGCACUCUUUUCUUAUGUGACCUUUCUGGCCACAUUUAUAGCAGCGGGGCUUCCUGCCCUGCGCUAUAACUCUUAAUUCCACCUCCUCAUCCACCGUUAUGGUGUCGACCAUUCUUUCAAGGUUCUCCGGGACAACCUGAAUGAUUAUUUCCAGAGUCUGCCCUUGCCAAUUCUUCGGUGGCGUUCUCGAUACCUAGAAGACCUCUAUCUUCUCUUCUACACCCAGCAGUAUUACAGCCAUCAGCCAGGCAACAUCUACCUCCGGGAGAAUCUCUUCCACCUUUACCCUGGAAGCACGCCUUUCAGGGUAAGUAGGCAGAAGUAUUACCUCGUCCGCUUUCAGGGAGGCUACCGAAUAUUGCUUGGCCUUCUCUUCGGAUCAAAUCGCACCCCUACAGUAGCGUAUUUUCUCCCUCUGGCAAGACAGGCGACAUCUUGCCAUAUGGGUCUUAAUGCCUUCUCAACUUCUUGUUUUGUAACUAUCUCCAUUCUAUUUAUGUCCAGACUAUAAGUUCAAUAUAUUAUUGUGUUUUAUGCGUGUUAUUUGUAAAUUCACUAGGAAGGGUCACCUUUACUCCGUGCACCUCCCUUCGCAGGAAUUCCCUGUACUUGUUCAACUCCACCUUCUUAAAACAAAUCUCUUCUCUUGCUUCACCAGCCACAGCUACAAACUUCAUUUUUUUUUCAACCUUCAUUUUUUUCCAUCUUCCGGUCUGCAAUAUCUAAGCUUCUCAGUAAUUCUUCUUCAGACGUCGUUACGUCUGAAGAAUUAAAACCUUCACACAUCAUGAAGACACAAAUAAUGCGCUUCCCCCUUCAAAUACAGGGGACAGUGUCAACACAACUGCCGUAAGGCAGCAAAAAACUCAACAAUUAAUAACAAAUAUAAUUCCAUUUCAACAAUCCUUCACUAACCUCUCUAACGAUGCACAAACAACAUUCACGAACAAGUCGGUCCAGAUGAUUGUAACAACGGUGAAAACAAUAUCAAUGUUAAUUUAUUGAUGCAUUUAGGCAAGUCUGUGUCUGUAUUAUCAGACAAUUUCAAAAAAUGUUUAAAAAAAUUCAAAACUCUGCAAAAAUCCGGUACAAAUUUUUCAUGGUUCAAAAUGUUGCUUACUUUUUACUCAGCCUGAGUUAUCCGAUAUCUUAACAAGAAACUCAGAAAUCCACAACAGCCCUAAUUAAUUAAUUCAACAUAAUCCCCAGCUCCAUACAUAUAAGCCCAAAACACCAAAUGACCUCCUUAACAGCACUAACCCUCACAACUCCAACUAUAAUUCCACUGCUAACACCGGAUCCUUUAAUUACCUUAACGCCCAACUAUACCUCUUGUAAAAAUUGAGAACGACACAGAAGAUACCACCGGGUACAAUAGAUAUCAUAUCAUACAACCCCACAAAAUCGCCCUCAACUCCUUAACAAAUACUAAUCUUAAUGCCAGCAAUAAUAACGAACCUAACACCGCUUCUUCAUUAAAUAGCAAUCCCCUCACAAGUUCAUCCAAGAUACCCUCAACAAUCUUAUGCAACUGUAGACGCCUAACCUCCUGUCCUUUAGAUAACCGCUGUUUCACAAAAAACAUCGUUUAUAAGCGUACAGUAUCAAUUGUCAACUGUAACUACAUACGUAUUGGCUCAUGUAUCACCACCUUCAAAGCUAGAGUGAGCAACCACUACUCCAGUUUCAAGUCCCAAACAAAAUUCAACAGUACAUAAUUGUCUCAACUAUUCAAUAAACUAAAGUUUGAUUCAACUCCUUACACUCGCAAGUUGUCCGUAGUCACUCACGGCAAACUAUUCAGCUAUAAUAACAAGUGUGAUCUCUGCAUAGCCGAGGUUUUGACUAUUUUGCUAGCCACAGAUUGUCUUAAUGGGCGCAGCAGUAUAAUUUUUAGCUGCAAACAUCGGUCACUAAACCUAUUUUUAAAAUACAAAUAACAACAACCCCACCCCGAUUUCCCUCAACCUUCAUAAAUUUUCCCUCUUACCAACCUUCACCACCACUAUAUAUGAGACCAAAAAUAUAUCCUCCCUUUAAUUCCUUAUUUACUUACUUCUCUCUGUAUUUUUCCUUACCAUAAAAAAAUUUUUUUUCUCUUAUUUCACCUGCCUCCUCUCCUACCCGCUUCCUUCGUAAACUUACCAAUACAUACACCGGUAUACACCUCUACUACUUCAUACUGCAAACACGCUCACAGCACCCAAUAUACAUUCCUCAAUUGAAAACCAGUAGUAGCCGCUACGAUUCUUCCCCAUUCUUUCUUCAUGCACAUAUAUAUUUUCUCCCCCUUGACCAAAAACAUUUCCCCACCCUUUCCACCCACCCCCACGUUAUUAUUUUCUGUGGUUCAACCAAAACAGCCCUAUUGAAUACGACCGGUCAAAUGACCGUGCUUAAAUUCCUCAUUCUGUCUUGCUUUCUUCAUGCACACUUUUUUUCUCCCCCUUAAUCAAAAAUAUUUCUCCACUCUCUUCCCUCCGCAUUAUAUUAAUUUCAAAUACCACUCUCCUUGCUAAUUUCUGUGAUUCAGCCAAAAUACUACCGGUCAUAUGACCUUGCUUAAUUUCCUCAUUCCCUUAUAUUUUCUUCAUUUUCCUCUUCUUUUAAUACUUAUUUCUCUCUACAUUUAUAUUCUCCUCUCCUACUGUGUUUUCUACUCAUUCUGAUCAGAUCUUCCAUGCGUUAACAAGUACCUCCUUUUGAGAAGAUAAACUUUCAUUUAAUCAAGAUAUCUUUGACCCGAAGAGUAGUCUGUGGUAUACAUCUCGCUUGGAUAUUUGCCACUUCUGAGGUUCCGAUCGCUAUGAAACAUAUUUAUCUCGGAUCUGAUCUACUCCAUUCCGUACCUCUUGAUUCCGACCCGCUUGAUACUUUGUUGAAGUAUUGUGUUUAAUUUCAAAAUAAAGUUGCUUGUGUAAACAUUUGUUUCAAAAUAAAUCUAAAAUUUAUAAGUGGCAAUAAAGCAAUAGCCUAUAAUUUUAAACAAACGAAAAGUAUGAAAAAUUCUUGACUCAGUAAUUUGAUUAUUUGACUGUUAGUACAUAAAGUAUACAAACUGACCUCAAAAAAACUUUCUAUAAUUAAAGUGGCCCGCAAUGUAAUUCGAGUUGGCCAGGCCUGGUCUACAGCGAUAAUUUUUCUCUAUGACAAAAUGCAAUGAAUGGUUUUCUUACGCGUUCGAAUAUGUUUCAAGCAUAUUUGAAUUGGUAACAAGUUUAUAUUUGCAUACAUCACUGUUUAGCGCUUCUAAUCCCUGUAUGUAUGUAUGUAUGUAUGUAUGUAUGUAUGUAUGUAUGUAUGUAUGUAUGUAUGUAUGUAUGUAUGUAUGUAUGUAUGUAUGUAUGUAUGUAUGUACAAAAUCUGUGUAUGUAUGUAUGUAUUCUCGUUGCCAGCAAAAACUGUGUGAUGUGUGUGUGUGUGUGUGUGUGUGUGUGUGUGUGUGUGUGUGUGUGUGUGUGUGUGUGUGUGUGUGUGUGUGUGUGUGUGUGUGUGUGUGUGUGUGUGUGUGUAUUCAUUCAUCUGACUGCGGUCAUUCUGGAGCACCGCCUUUUGUCGAAGAAAUCGACCCCAGGACUUAUUCUUUGCCAGCCUAGUACUUAUUCUAUCCGUCUCUUUUGCCGAGCCGCUACGUUACGGGGACGUGAACACACUUUGAUCGGUUGUCAAGCGAUGGUGGGGGAGGAUAAACACAGACACACAACCACACACACACACACACACAUAUAUAUACGAUGGGCUUCUUUCAGUUUCCGUCUACCAAAUUCACUCAUAAAGCUCUGGUCGGCCAGAGGCUAUAGUAGAAGACACUUGCCCAAGGUGCCACGUCGUAGGACUGAACCCGGAACCAUGUGGUUGGUAAGCAAGCUACUUACCACACAGCCACUCUUGCGCCUAUAUCUGUCUGUCUAUCUAUCUAUCUAUCUAUCUAUCUAUCUAUCUAUCUAUCUAUCUAUCUAUCUAUCUAUCUAUCUGUCUGUCUGUCUGUCUGUCUGUCUGUAUAUAUAUAUAUAUAUAUAUAUAUAUAUAUAUAUAUAUAUAUAUAUAUAUAUAUAUUGUUGAAAUUUAUAGACAAACAAAAGACGAAAAUAGGUAUAUGAACAACAAGCAGGUGUAUCAGUUUGGCACUCGAGAAAGUGAAAAAGUCGCUUAUGUUUCGAGCCUACGCUCUUCAACAGAAAGGAAUAAAAGAAAACAGAGAGAGAGAAAAAAAACUUGUGAAUUUAGCGGUUAAGCAUGGCGACUGAUUAGAAGAAAAAAAGGCUUGCUAGAAGAGGUUGAAAGAAGGGGAGGUAAUAAAGUAUUGGUGAUCCCAAAAUGAAGGUGCGCGUGCGUGUGUUUGUGAGAAUGUGUAAGUGUGUGUAUGGCUAGGGGCUAAUGACUUUGACGUGUGUGAAUGUGUGCGUGUGUAAGUGCAUUCGUCUGUAACGCGUGGGUGUGUGGAUGAUGGUGCGUGGCUCGUGGGUCUGCGGAUGAUGGUGUGGUGUGGGUGCUUGAGGUUGGUCAGUGCUAGUGUGUUUGGAGUGGUGUGAUUGUGGGGUGGUGUAGGGUGGCGGUGGGACACAUACAUACGUACACACUCGCACAUUCAUACACACACUCACACAUAAUGAAUGAAGGGAACGGAAAAUGGCGUUUGCAAGAAUCUUUAUUCAAAACAACGAUUGUUUCGACCCAUCCUGCAAUCCUGCAUUUGUCCCUUGCUGGUGGAAUACUGUACAGCUGGUUGUGUUAGAUCCUCCAGUGCAGAAUGUAUCUCAUCGGGUUUCUUAAUUUAAACACAACCAGCUGUACAGUGUGAUCUGAUAAGCUUGUCCUGCCUUGGUUUUGUUUUCUUCUUCCUUUAAUUUAUACCCGCUGACUCGGAAGUAGGCUACAGAUCCACAACUCCAGUCCCCGUUGUGAACUUGGAUCCUAGUCGCUUAUCAAUUGGAGGACUCACACAGCGUACCUAUUAGUUUAUAUCAUAAGGGGCCUAGACCCUUCUUAUUCUAUGUGUGUGUGUGUGUGUGUGUGUGUGUGUGUGUGUGUGUGUGUGUGUGUGUGUGUGUGUGUGUGUGUGUGUGUGUGUGUGUGUGUGUGUGUGUGUGUCUGUGUGUGUGAGACCACAGCUUGACGACUGGUGUUGGUGUGUUUUCAUCUCCGUAAGUUAGCAGUUCAGCAAAAGAGAACGAUAAGAUAAGUAACGGACUAAAAAAAAAAAAAAGUACAGUUGUUGAACUGCCCGAGGUCGUGCCCCAGCAUGGCCUCAAUCUAAUGACUAAAAUAAAUAAAAAAAUAAAAGAUUAUAAGCAUUCAUUAUGGAAACCACAUUUUGAGUCAGACAAUGGUUGAGAAGUGAAACGGUUGUAGGGGAAUAAAAGGCGGCGAGCUGGCAGAAACGUUAGCACGCCGGGCGAAAUGCUUAGCGGUAUUUCGUCUGCGUUACGUUGUGAGUUCAUAUUCCGCCGAGGUCGACUUUGCCUUUCAUCCUUUCGGGGUCGAUAAAUUAAGUACCAGUUACGCACUGGGGUCGAUAUAAUCGACUUAAUACCUAUGUCUGCCCUUGUUUGUCCCCUCUAUGUUUAGCCCCUUGUGGGUAAUAAAGAAAUAGGUUACAUGGGAAUAAAAAUGUUGUAGCCCACUGCUGUAUCAAACUUCACUAAUUCAUCUCGGAAGAAUGACAGGUUGAGCUGACCUCGACGGGAUUUGAACUAAGAGCGCAUUUAGGUGGAACAAACACAUUCUAUCCGAUAUACUAACGACUCGGUCAAUACACCACCUUCCGUCUCUAUUAAUGUCUCUCUCUGCGCGGGCGCGCGAAUGUUCACGUGCGGGAAUGACUAAAACACUUAUGACUUGAGCUGUAAUAAUAGAUACCCUCUCUCAUCGUCUAAAAGAACACAGAAGUAUAUUAGAUAUGCCCCAAUUUCAGCAGCCUAAACUCAGGAGGAAAAGUUUUUAGUGCACUAAAACAUGUAAUAUGUAAUAGGUGCGUGGCUUAGUGGUUAGAGUAUUCGGCUCACGAUCUUAAGGUCGUAAGUUCGAUUCCCGCCGGCGCGUUGUGUCCUCGGGCAAGACACUUUAUUUCACGUUGCUCCCGUCCAUUCAGCCGACAAAACAGAGAAGUACCUGCGUUUCAAAGGCCAGUCUUCUCACAUUUUGUUUUCAUGCUGAAUCUUCCCGAGAACUACGUUAAGGGUACGCGAUCUGUGGAGUGCUCAGCCAUUUGCUCGUUAAUAUCAGCUAAGCGAAACUUUGAGAAAAUAAUGAACCGAUUAUAAUGCAUGCAAUGACUCUGGUUAAGAAGGAAAAAUAAGUACUGAGGUCGACUAAACCCUUCAAGGAGGUGUCCUAGCAUGGCUACAUUCCAAUGACUGAAACAAACAAAAGAUAAAAGAAAGAUUGGUUGCAGUCUCCGUGCGUGUCAAUGUGGGACAUUAAUGGCGAUGAACUCUAGCUUGCGAAAUUCCUAUCGCCUGGUAAACUGAAACCUAUUGCUGAAGAAGUCUUUAAGAAGCCACACGAAUAAAAUUGUUUAAAUGUUGAGAGCAAAGCAUUAAUUUAAGUUGCAUAUCUAGGAAUCUGUAAAAUAAUUCGACAGCAGGCAUGGCUGUGUGGUAAGAAGUUUGCUUCCUUACCACAUGGUUCCAGGUUCAAUCCCACUGCGUGGCACCUUGGGCAAAUGACUUCUACUAUAGCCCCCGGCCGACCAGAGCCUUGCGAGUGAAUUUGUUAGAUGCAAACUGAAGGAAGUUCGGUGUAUAUAUUUUGGCGCAAAACAAAACCAGUUGCACAGUCAGAGUUUAACGUAACAGUUAUAGAUUAUGACCCGGUAGGCCACACUGACGAGGCUCAGGGUUUAAAUACUCAGAAGCCGAAACCUAGUAUGUGGAUAGCCUUAAUUGCGUAAUAUUUAUAUUUGUGCUGUUAAAUGUUUUAAUCCUUUCUGUUUUCCUCGCAUACUGUUUUUCUCUGUUAUCUUGGUGCGGUACGGUGGAUAAAUUUAAGACUUUAGCUCUUAUUUCUAGCAGGUAGAUUCUUGUUAAGCAUCAUAACGCUUAGUGCAAAUUUAUAAUUCAUAGCUAUUUAAUGCUAUUGCACCUGAGAUCCACUUAUGUCACUGCUGGUGAUAUCAUCAAUUUUAAAAUUUAUCCACAGAUGAUAUGAACAGUAGUGACAUCUGAUUUCAAAUCUCAGUGUUUGAAUGAUUUACUUAUAUAUAUAUAUAUAUAUAUAUAUAUAUAUAUAUAUAUAUAUAUAUAUAUAUAUAUAUAUAUAUAUAUACACACACACAUGUAUGUACAUAUCUGUGUGCGUGUGUCUGUAUUUGUCCUCACUCCAUCACCGCUUGACAACCGGUUUUCGUGUGUUUAUGUCCCCGUAACUUAGCGGUUCGACAGAGUAGGUACUAGGCUUUAAAAAAUAAGUCCUGGGGUCGAUUUGCUCGACUAAACCCCUUUCAAGGUGCUCCAGCAUGGCCGUAGUCAAAUGACCGAAACAAGUAAAAAAAUACUGGAUACCGUGGUCAAUCUCCCUCAACUCACACCGUACCAUUUUAAAAAGGAAGGAUACAUCAGUCAGAGCAGUUGUGUGUAACCUGAAAGAGACAGGAUGCUUAGGCUUAGGAUGCUUUGAUCAGAGUUCUAUUCGAUCAAAGUUUACCAGGAUUUAGAAACAAUGACUUUGGCAUUCUUCUUAACUAAUACUUUUUGCUAUAAAGGCUCUAAAAGUUCGAAAUCCAUCUGGCGCUGUCGCUGGUUGCUGUUGGGACAAAUUUUAAUCUCUCUGAUAUGUAUUGUGUUUCUGACACAGCAAGGUCAUAAUAGAUGCUAUCUCAGGGCUAAUGCUACUGCAACUGACCUAUCGGCAGUGUUUAUAUAUAACUAGCAGUAUCACCCGGCGUUGCUCCGGUUUGUAAGGAAAAUAACUAUAUAAGCAUUUUUAGAGAGUUAUAGCCAAAAAAUAGCAAAAAAAUGCAUUAAAAAUGGAAAAAAAAAUGAUGGUAAAUUUUUUAAAAAAUCGUUGACUCAUCGUAGACAUUUUUAGAGAGUUACUUCCCUUAUAUAAUAGCGAAAAAAUGCAUCAAAAUGGAAAAAAAUGAUGGUAAAUUAUUUUUUAAAUCGUAGACUCAUCGUAGACGCGCGCUAAUACCCAGAAGGGCUCGAUAUGAAUCACGACUAUAAGAUAUCCACUUUUGGUUACACUGCACCGCAAAAUGUGGGAGUAGUUAGGAAUCCAAAUCGUAGGAGACAGACACACAACUUCACUUUUAUAUAUAAAGAUAAGUAUGCUGUGUAACUGGUCAUUUUAAUUAAAUACUGUCUUGAUGUGUAUACCAGUGAAGGUGCAUGGCUCACUGGUUAGAGCGUCGGACUCACAAUCAUGAGGUAGUGAGUUCGAUUCCCGCACCGGACUGUGUGUUAUGUUCUUGACUGAAACACUUAUUUCACGUUGCUCCAUUUCACUCAUUGUAGAAAUGAGUUGCGACGUCACUGGUGCCAAACUGUAUCGGCCUUUGCCUCUCCUUUGGACAACAUCUGUGGCUUGGAAAGCGGAUGUUGGUAUGCAUGGGCGACUGCUGGUCUUCCAUAAACAACCUUGCUGGGACUUGUUCCUCAAAGGGUAACUUUCAAGGUGCAAUCCCAUGGUUAUUCAUGACCGAAGGAUGUCUUUACCCUUUUGCGUAUACCGGAUAAAAUGCAGUAUUUUCCCCCCCAUGGUGCUUCAUGUUGCUUUCUAUAGUUUUAUAGAAUUUUCUCUUUCAACUAUCGCCGGAAAAUAAUGAAGUUAUGGAAACGGCUACAAAGCAAUAUUAAAACUAUUUUUCGAAUUUUACAAAUCGUUUAAAUUAUUUAAGUAAUAAAAAAAAUCCCUUAAAUAUUGGGGGCAAAAGAAUUAUCUCCCUUAGACGUGUUACAUUAAGUACAGUGGGUUUUUGUUUUAGUUUUUCAACUUGGGCUGGAGCGCUCCACUUUGUGGGAGUUCAGAAGACGGCAGUAGACACCAAAAAGACGCUGGGUAUUUUAGAGGGGCCACGAUUUUUUCUAAGAAACCGAAUACUUAGUCUAGAUACAGUACCUAUAUUUUAAGCACAUUUUCCAAAAAGAACUGUUGGAAUGAGAAUCAUGAGUCGAAUAUUGUAUUGUCAGUGAGCAGAAAACAUGGCUGAUGCUGCACCAAGGUUCAAUGUUUCUUUAUAGAAAUCCUUUUAUCUUUUAUGUUUUACUUGCUUCAUUCAUUAGACUGCGGCCAUGUUGGAGCACCGCCUUGAAUUUUAGUCGAACGAAUCGACCCAAGUACAUAUUAUCACUUUUUGUUUGUAAGGCCCAGUAGUUAUUCUAUCAUUUUCUUUUGCUGAACCGCCAGCUAACGGGGACGUAAAUACACCAAGACCGGUUGUGAAGCGGUGGUCUCACACACACACACACACACACACGCACACAUUCGUCAGACUUCUUCAGUUUCCAUUUACCAAAUCUACCCACAAGGUUGUGGUCACCCCGAAGCUAUAGUAGAAGACAAUUGCCCAAGGUGUCAUGCAAUGGGACUCAACUCAGAUUCAUGUGACUGGGAAGCAAACUUGUUACCACACAGCCACGCCUUACCUUUUUUUUUUUUUUUAAAUUUCUAGUAAUUUCCUUAAAAAUUUAACAAGAAUGUGAUAAGUCACUACAUGAAAUUAGCUUAUUUAUUUACUUGUUUGUUUGUUUGUUCAUUUUUUUUCAUGAAACAUGCAAAGGGAACAUUUGCAAAACGCUAUUCUGUGAAAGUUGGCAGCUGAGCUACAAAAACUCGAGAACCACCGAUUUAAUAAAGCAAUGUGACACAAUUCAGUUAGGUCACCAUGAAUGUGUACUUGUAUGUAUGUGUGUAUGUGCUUGGGUGUAUGUAGUGCUUGUGUGUGUGUGUGUGAGAAAUAGAGGUAGAGAGGGGAGAGAGAGAGGGAGGGAGGGAAGAGACUGUAUGUAACGUUCUUAUUAAUUCAUAUCGUUUAAUGAAAUUUUGCUGAGACACGUGUUCAAGGGGGUAGUUUACAAUAAUGUUGAUAACAUUUUUGUAAAUUAUUAAUCAAAAGCAAAAAAUUCCAUAUCGUUUUAAUCAUUCAUUAUCUUGCUUACGAUAGCUUCACAACAUAAAAAUAGCUAUGACAAGAUCCUGAUUAAAGUUAUUGCUUAUCGAUUAAAGAUAUUAGUCAACGGCUAUUAUAACCGUAAUAUGUUUACGGCUGAUGAAGACAGAAUAAUACCAAUAGAUGUUUAAAGUUGUCUUUCUUUCCUACCGAGACCAUAAAAACCAUAUAGUCAUUGAUUAAUACUGUGUUUCCCAUCGCAUCACAGCACAAUUAUUUCUAAUUAGUUUUAAACGUGUGAAAACUAAUUUGCAUCUUUUCUGAACAUCUCCCUUUCAUGUAUGAAGCUGUGCCGUAACUACUGUUGUGCACUCGUUCUCUCCUCUCUGAAUCCCGUAACUGUCGUCUGCAUCAAACAGACUGUCGUCUGCAUCAGCUUUUCGUUAUGCUUUAUUCUACAAGUUCUUUAUUUCAUUUUGUAACUCCCAGAACAAACAAUGAUUUCCAAGCUACAUACAAGAGCAAUACUUUUUUUUUUAUCACAUAAUGGUAGGAUAUUAACACUCGUUUUAUCCUUCACUAGAGUGAUAAAAAGAAUAACGUUCUUCAGUGUGGUUUGAAUUUAAGGAUACGAUGCCUACAGAGACGAAAAGAAAUACUUUAAUGUACUGAUUCCAAAUUUUACUGCAAUCUUUACCGCACACCACUAAAACGAAAGAGACGUGACUUCUAGGAAUAGCAGUCACGUAUCCUCCAUAUUAAACUCUAACCUUUUAAAAAUAAGAAGAACAUAUUGGAUAUUAUCUGAUAAAAAAAAAACUAUGUAAGAAAAAAGAUAGGAUGGUCACGUCUAGAACGAUUUAGAGAAUAGGUCUGCUCGUUCAGAGUUCAUUUGAAGCUUUCAAGGGCCUUUCUUAUAACUUGAAUACCUUCUUGAUACUUUGAACCCCCCACCCACCUCGACUUUGAAGACCUCUUUCGUACUUUGACGUCUUUCUUCAUACUUUGACAGCGUUUUUCAUACUUAGAAAAUCUACUUAUUCUUUAAAUACCUAUUUCGAAGACACUCUGGUUGGUUUUUCUAUGUCAAACAUAUACAUCUAUGGGUUCUAACUUUAUAAUCUCUUUCUCAAAAUCUAGCUCAUAUCCCCCUACAGUUAGCUGGCUUUAGAGACGAAGUGGUCAAUUGGACUAAGUGAUAGCCUACUGGUCUAUGCCUCGUGAGUUCAAAUCUAUUGCAGAUGUUUUUGUUUUACAGUCGUUCAUUAUAUUUCUAUAAAGGACAGUGUACUUUUAAGUAGUCUCAUUGUGACAUGGACAGUGCGUAAUGUGGGUUUUUUUCUGGAAAUUUACUUGAGAAGAUUUUUUUCUUUUUUUAAAGUUGCCGUUGUCCCACUCCUUAGACGCUUGUCAUUUAUUAUACACUUAUCUAUGUUUAAAGAUAUAUCUUUUUUUUAAAGUGAACAAAGGCGCAGGAGUGGCUGUGUGGUAAGUAGCUUGCUAACCAACCACAUGGUUCCGGGUUCAGUCCCACUGCGUGGCAUCUUGGGCAAGUGUCUUCUGCUAUAGCCCCGGGCCGACCAAAGCCUUGUGAGUGGAUUUGGUAGACGGAAACUGAAAGAAGCCUGUCGUAUAUAUAUAUGUGUGUGUGUGUUUGUGUGUCUGUGUUUGUUCCCCUAGCAUUGCUUGACAACCAAUGCUGGUGUGUUUACGUCCCCGUUACUUAGCGGUUCAGCAAAAAGAGACCGAUAGAAUAAGUACUGGGCUUACAAAAGAAUAAGUCCCGGGGUCGAGUUGCUCGACUAAAGGCGGUGCUCCAGCAUGGCCGCAGUCAAAUGACUGAAACAAGUAAAAGAGUAAAUAUACAUAAGUCGUAUCCUCUCAGGAACACAAUGAAUCAAUUGCUGUAGAUUUGAAUCUACGUCAAGUGACCUGAUAGCUUAAUGCCAUAUCCACUCCACAACAGUACCUCUAUGUAUAUGAAUGUCAUAUAUUAUAUAUAUGCAAUCCAAACGGGAAUUGACGCCAGGGUUUUUCUUUUUUCACAUCCGCUUAUAUAUCUCUACAUUCAUGUGUUUUUGCGUGUUCGUGUUUACGCAUGAUCAAUGCUUUGGUUCCAGAUUUUGAUAGAUCAACUGCAUAAUAAUGAUGAUGAUGAUAAUUGCGCCAAAUUUUGGCUCAAGGCCAACCCCAGUGCUAAACAGUAACUAAUUUUAUCAUUCCUGAAGGAUGAAACGCAAAGUCAACGACCGCGGAAUUUGAACUCAGAAUGUUACUAAGACAGGUGUUUACGGUUCUGCCAGCUCGUCAUCUUAAUAAUAAUAAUUAUGGCUUCAAAGUUCGGAGGAGAAGACUAGCACAACGAUUGGAGGGGGGGACUAGUCGAUUACAUCGACCCCAGUGCUCAACUGGUACUUAAUUUAUAAGGCGGCAAGUUGGCAGAAACGUUAGCACGCCGGGCGAAAUGCUUAGAGGUAUUUCGUCUGCAGUUACGUUGUGAGUUCAAAUUCCGCCGAGGUCGACUUUGCCUUUCAUCCUUUCGGGGUCGAUAAAUUAAGUACCAGUUACGCACUGGAGUCGAUGUAAUCGACUUAAUACCUAUGUCUGUCCUUGUUUGUCCCCUCUGUGUUUAGCCCCCCUGUGGGUAAUAUAGAAAUAGGUGCUUAAUUUAUCGACCCCGAAAGGAUGAAUAACAAAGUCGACCUUGGCGAGAUUUGAACUCAAAACGUGAAGCGGGACGAAAUGCUGCUAAACAUUUUGUCUGGCUCGCUAAUUAUUCUACCAGUUCGCCGCUUUGGCAACAACAACAACAACAACAGCAGCAGCAGCAACAACAACAGCAGCAGGAGUAGCAACAAAACGUUUUGAAGUAUUUAGAUAAUAUAAGUGAAAGUCAAGUACUAGAGGUCAACUUAAACUUACCACCACCACCACACCGCAAAAUAACUAGUGUUCUUGUGUGUAUGGUAGAAAUUAUUAUAAUCAUAUAACAAAUUAUGUUCGGUCUAUUGGGUGGGGGUUGAAGUUAGCUAUUGAUCGUGUGUGGAGUCUGAUUGUUUCCGUUUCUUUUUAUUAAUUCAAUGACCUCUAAUUGAAUGUAAUAUACUUUCUCUUCAGUAUCUUCAAUCCUGUGCUACUUCGUAACAAUUUUAUUGAGGAUAUUGGCUUAUCUCAUCGCUGUUGAUAGUCUCGUGAUGUAAUACAUGCAUAUGCACGAGUUCACACACACGCACUCACUUUCCCAUAAGAAUUUUUUGCGUAAUAAGAUAAAAAACCAAGGCUGUAUAGAUAUUAGAGCAUUUAUAGAUAGGUCUUACAGCUGUUUCUAGGAUAUUAAUUAAUAAUAUCCUUUCAUCGUCUCUAAUAUCUAUACAGCCUUGGUUUUUUUUAUCUUAUUACGCAAAAAAUUCUUAUAUACACACGCUGACGUAGAACCAACAUUUGACGGAUAUUUGUCCUCAACCGAAACCUCGUGUUAACAACAAACAAGAUCAAGGCAAAUAUACGUCAAAUGUAAAUAAUGUCAAUAAUGUACAUAAUUCCUCAUCUCUUAAAUAUAGAACAGUAUUAGAAAUAUUGUUUACAAUGUAUUCUGGAGAUGUAUAACCGAAUAUAUUAAGAAAAAGACGAGGACUAUAGCAUUUAAAAAACUAUCUUUUCUAUUUCAUAACUGGAUGCCAAUGAAAUGAAAGUUAACCACCUGGAUAAAAACCAGGUUGAAAGAAAGGAAAUCGAGAUAUUUGUUUACAAGAUUUGCAUGUUUAUCUGGAAAUGUGCCAAUACUAAUGCUCAAGAUAUAUAUAUAUAUAUAUAAUUUAUAAGUAAGGGCAAAAGAAAAAAAUUCUAAUGCCAAAAUAUGCCGAAAAUAGACACAACGUCAAUAACCAUGUAAUUUAUCACUACAAGCACGCGUUUCAAAGAAAACCGACAGAAAUUUCUUUAAAAAUCCCGUUAUUACCAUAUCGGACCCGAUUUCAGAGUUAGUUCAUAAGAACCUUCAGUGAUAAAUGCGGCAAAGAAAUAAGUGAAAUACUUAUACCCAUAAGUUCUUAUGAACUAACUCUGAAAUCGGGUCCAAUAUGGUAAUAACGGGAUUUUUUAGAAAUUUCUGUCGGCUUUCUUCGAAACGCAUGCUUGUAGUGAUAAAUUACAUGGUUAUUGACGUUAUGUCUAUUUUCGGCAUAUUUUGGCAUUAGAAAUUUUUUCUUUUGCUCUUACUUAUAAAUUGUUUAUAAAUUUAACCUUUAAAGGUAUUUUUUAAUAUGCUGGCCAUUGAUAGAAUUUUUUCCGAAAAAUGUUAUCCUAUAUUAGAUGUAUAUAUAUAUAUAUAUUUCUAAUAAAUAAAUAUAUAUGUAUGUGUAUGUAUAUAUAUAUAUAUAUAUAUAUAUAUAUAUAUAUAUAUAUAGCUUCUAUGCGGCAUAAACGCUAUUGGGAAAGACUCAUGAGAUUAAGACUCUAUCCCUUAAAGCGUAGGCGAGAAAGAUAUGCCAUAAUAUACAUCUGGAAGAUCCUGGAAGGACUUGUACCAAACUUUGGCAUCGAGAGUUACACAAAUACUAGAACUGGGUGCCACUGCAUAGUGCCAAGGACUCCAAAUUUGCCAUCAAGAUGUAGGACAAGAUACUGCAAGAGCCUGGGCUUCAGAGGUCCACAGCUCUUCAAUAUCCCCCCGAAGGACCUGAGAGACCUGCAUGGGGUGGAUGUAGGUGUUUUCAAAAUAAAACUGGACCUCUUACUGUCAAGUGUCCCAGAUGAACCAGCUUCGUUCUGUAGCAGUAGGCCUUUUGGUGUACUCAGUUGCCAGCCCAGGCUCCGCUGUUCAUCUACUCCGCAGGGUGGAUGAACAGGUUGCGAAGAGCAAACUGUCAAAAUAUCGGUCGCUCUCUGACAGAUUUAUAGUCGAGCCUGUGGCAGUGGAUACUCCGGUGUUCUCGGCUCCCAGACCAUAUCUCUGCUCACCGCUAUCGGGGUGAAGAUGGCUAUCCGCAAACGUGAGGCCCAUGUGUCAGAGUGGUUGUUCCAGCGCAUCUCUCUCGCCGUCUUCCAGGGCAACGCCGUUUCCUUUUUGUCUGCUGGGACCAAGAAGUGGUCUGAAUUACAGGAAAUCGAGAGACCGUAAGAAUUUCACCGCUUACUUACAUCGUUAUAUUUCAGGCUAAUCAUUUAUUGACCCUACUUCCUCCAAAGAUAUGCUUACGAACGAUAGUCUCGACUAAAUAGAGGCUUUUAUCGAGACUAUAUAAAGGAGCGUCUCUAAUCAAAGAGGAAAAGGAUUUGGGCAGAGUUUACCGGUUAAUCACCGCCAACUCCUGUUCUACAACUUCGCCAGCAAACAAACACGACUCAGUAAUCGCAGAGUGAAACACACCCAGCUUUAUAAUUUGUGCAGAAAAACAAAACAGUGAGCUUCAUAAGUUACGUAGGAAAACACACCCAUCCAUUUCCACUAAUAAUGUUAAAACCUUUUUAGUAUUACGGAGAUGUACUUGCAUAGCAAGUGACCUGAUCUGAGAUCGUGUGCUGGAACGAAAACAAUUGCAGUGUGGAAGGUGUUUAUAAGCCAUUUAAGAAACACACAAAAUCCGUUAGAUCCGUUAAUUUGUCAAAAUAUUUUCGUCGCUUUGAGACCGCGACCUGUUCACUGACAAAAUUCCGAUGUAUACGAUUUCCCCCCACACUGUACAAUUACACAGCAUUCAGACAUACAUACCUAUAUAAAAUGCUAAGAGUACCAAUACUGAUAGUAGAGUAAGAUAGAAGGAUGCUGCUGAUCUAUCUAUCUAUCUAUCUAUCUAUCUAUCUAUCUAUCUAUCUAUCUAUCUAUCUAUCUAUCUAUCUAUCUAUCUAUCAAUAUAGGGGAUUAGUGGAGGGGAGGUACGACGACGAGCUCGGGGCGAACCUGGACGUCGACGAGGAAUACCUGACCCGCCUGUUCGGGACGACUUUCCGGCCAGGGCCCAUGGACAACUUCCAGAGAUCCCUGGCCUGGCAGUGCUACCGAGAAGCGCUACCCGUUCGGGAUAAGCUCUACAGACACGGCUCGAGAAGCACGGGGCCGACCUGCCCGUGAUGCGGUCAGAGCGACGAAACCCGUUCUGCACGCACUCGUGCAGUGUCCAACAAUUUCCGACCUGUGGGCUUAUGUCUAACAACUGCUGUCACGUGUGGGACGAGUCGGUUUAUCAGCUGAGUCUAUCGUCAAUAUUGUCACGCCUCCUUCCUUCAAACGGGAAGGAAGAGCUAUUUUCAUCAUCCUUGUGGCUAUGGCGAAGGAAUGUAUCUGGUGGACGCGUCUGAAAGGAUUGGAGACAAACACUUUCCUCUCUGGUCAAUCUCUCAUCAACUUCUUCAAGUACCACUUGAAAAGGAAAGUGAGAGUAGAGAGGCAAGUUUUGUCUAGCGAAUGUUUUAAAAAAGAUGGUUGAAUGUAGCAAGGAUGGCACGUAUGAAUGACGAAGCCACCUUGAGCAUAGUCCUAUGAACCCAGAAAUUGAAAACAGAGGGUUACCCACUUGCAAACAAAUGUGGUAACAUAUAACAAUAUUGACCGAGGUUACCGUGGUCUUUUUCGUAGGCUUUUCUUCCCACGGAUAAACGUUAUCUGCUUUCCCCUUUACACCGUACAUCAUGACACUGUGAUACACGAUCCCUAUUGAACGUUUUUUUUCUUCUCCCCCAUUUUUCCUCUUUUUUCUUCCUUUUUUAUUUUUCUUUUCCUUUUUUUCCUUUUUUUUCUUUCCUUUUUUUCUUUUUUUCUUUUUCCCCUUUUACGAUCCCUUUUAAUCGAAAACCUACGCCACUUUUUUUUGUUUCUUUUGUUUUUUGUUUUUUUUUGUUUUUCUUCAUCCCACAAAAGAAAAGCUCUACCUUGUAAUUUGUCCCAUCUGUGUGCAGCCCUGUGUGGCCAAUAAAGAAACUUAUCUAUCAAUCAAUCAAUCAAUCUAUCUAUCUAUCUAUCUAUCUAUCUAUCUAUCUAUCUAUCUAUCUAUCUAUCUAUCUAUCUAUCAAUCUAUCUAUCUAUCUGUCUGUCUGUCUGUCUCUCUCUCUCUCUCUCUCUCUCUCUCUCUCUCUCUAUCUAUCUAUCUAUCUAUCUAUCUAUCUGUCUGUCUAUCUAUCUACCGUCACGCACGCACAGGCACGCACGAUGCACACACACGCACACAUACACGCGCGCGGGCACACACACACAUUUUUUUUUAUAUUGCAGAAGUUACAAAGUGACUCAAGGGCUUAGAGUUUCUCUGCAGUUUGAUAAGUGUCAAUGCAUAUACACAUAUAUACACACACGCAACAUACAUACAUACCACCAUCUUUGGCACCCAGUGUUGUCCGAAAGAAACAAAUAAGUGCGCGCACGCACACCCACACACCCACACAAGUGUAUGUAUAUACUUUGGGUAAAAGAAGAUACAGGACUAUCUGUUAAUUAUGAUUUCAUUCAACAUAUUCCCCUUUCAGUGUCACACACUUAUUGCACCAGUCCUUCAGUUUUUCUAAGUCCUGAAAAAGCAUUCGGAAAGUUUGGCGUUCAGCCAGGCCUUUCGCGACACCCUUAAAGCCAGGAACUUUUCAGCAACCCCUUCGUAUAUGUGUGUUAUAAGCGUGUAUAACUCGCUAACAAACUCGCAGAACAUAGUGCUCAUCUUCAUCUCGGUUUGGUGACAUUCACACCUUUAGGUUUGUAAUAGACUUAUAACCAUCUUUCCUAUUAUUUUCUUGAUGUCGAAAUCAAAGCAUCGUAUUGUAUGCACUAUGGCGCUUAUGACAUCUAUAUUGGUUUAUCGACCAGUAGAAAAUUGUAAAUAAAACCCUUGUUAAAUGCUAUCUUAUUUCUUUGUUGCCCACAAGGGGAUAAACAUAGAGGGGACAAACAAGGACAGACAAAGGGGUUAAGUCGAUUACAUCAACCCCAGUGCGUAACUGGUACUUAUUUAAUCGACCCCGAAAGGAUGAAAGGUAAAGUCGACCUCGGAGGAAUUUGAACUCAGAACGUAACGGCAGACGAAAUACCCAUUUCUUUAAUACCCACAAGAGGCUAAACACAGAGAGGACAAACAAGGACAGACAUAGGUAUUAAGUCGAUUACAUCGACCCCAGUGCGGAACUGGUACUUAAUUUAUCGACCCCGAAAGGAUGAAAGGCAAAGUCGACCUCGGCAGAAUUUGAACUCAGAACGUAGCGGCAGACGAAAUACCGCUAAGCAUUUCGCCCGGCGCGCUAACGUUUCUGCCAGAUCGCCGCCUUUUGUUAAAUGCUAUCUUGCAGUUUGGUUUAUGAGGGAAUAAAUUUAUGUUUUUUAAAUUGUUCAUUCAGCAUGUCUUAAUGGAACAAACAAAAGGGUCAACGUCAAGCUAACAGACUUGUUUUGUUUUGGGGACAGUGAAUGUCAAAUCACAUAUAGCUAUGAAUACUGAUUUUAACUUUUGGCACAAGGCCAGCUAUUUAGGAGGCGGGAGUGAGUCAAUUAUAUCGACCCCCGGGCUCAAUUGAUGUUUAUUUUAUUCUUUUCUACUCUAAGCACAAGUCCCGAAGUUUUUUUUUGUUCUUUUCUUUGGGGAGGGGGGCAGUCGAUUAGAUCGACCCAGUACGCAAUUGGUACUUAAUUUAUAAUUUAUCGACCCCGUAAGGAUGAAAGGCAAAGUUAACCUUGGCGGAAUUUGAACUCCGAACGUAAAGACGGACGAAAUGCCGCUAAGCAUUUUGCCUGGCGAGGUAAAGAUUCUGCCAGCUUUACACUUUUAGUUAUGAAUAUUAGCAUGUAAAAACUGGGUUGAAAAUCCCUUUUGGAUAGAAAAGGUGGAAGAUUACCCGUCGAACACGAACCCACGUCUCCUGUAGAUAUGACAAACGUUCUACCGUUGGACCAAAAUAAAUCCUUCAAAUUUUUUCUAUUCUUUUAAAAAGAUUCAUUUUUACCAGCGAGAAUCUAUGCUGUUAACAUCAUUAAUUUAGAGAGAACUAGGGCGGCGAGCUGGCAGAAUCGUUAGCGCACCGGGCGAAAUGCUCAGCGGUAUUUCGUCUGUCGAUACGUUCUGAGUUCAAAUUCCGUCGAGGUCGACUUUGCCUUUCAUCCUUUCGGGGUCGAUUAAAUAAGUACCAGUUACGCACUGGGAUCGAUUUAAUCUGUUUGUCUGUCCUUGUUUGUCCCCUCUGUGUGUAGCUCCUUGUGGGUAGUAAAGAAAUAAGAAUCGUUAGCGCACCGGGCGAAAUGCUCAGCGGUGUUUCGUCUGCCGACUUUGCCUUUCAUCCUUUCGGUGUCGAUUAAAUAAGUACCAGUUACGUAUUGGGGUCGAUGUAAUCGACUUAAUCCCUUUGUCUGUCCUUGUUUAUCCCCUCUAUGUUUAACCCCCUGUGGGCAAUAAAGAAAUAAAUAAUUUAGAGAGAACUUGAAUUUAUCUAUUUCUCAUUCAGUUAUCACAACAAGAAGGACAAGCUGAAAAGUUUUAUUUGGCGAGCUGACAGAAUCGUCAGCACGCCGGACAAAAUGCUUAAUGGCAUUUUCCGACUCUUUACGUUUGGAGUUCAAAUUUCACCGAGGUCGACUUCGCCUUAUAUACUUUCGGGAUCCACGAAAUAAGGAUCAGUUGAGCACUAGGGGCGACAUAAUUGACUAGCCCCGUCCCACAAAUUUCCUGGCCUUGUGCCUCGUAGUAGAAAGGAUUAUUCCUAAGGCGACGAGCUGGCAGAAUCGUUAGACUGUUGAACAAAAAGCUUAGAAACAUUUCUUUUGGCUACUUACGUUCCGAGUUCAAAUAACGCCGAGGUCAACUUUGUCUUUUAUCCUUUCGUAGUCGAUAAAAGUACUGGAAUCGAUGUAAUUGAUGUCCGUCAUUCUUUUAUUCAUUCAAUGUCCGGUAGUUAGUUUAUUUGGGCAAAAUCCGGAAUCUGAGGAAAUUAGUUCGAAUGAACAGUCACGGAAGAAUUCUUGAGAAGGAGUGUAGAGUUUAAUGAUCUAAUGUCCGUUUGGGUCAUUAGCCUUCGUAUGUGAGAGAGAGAGGAGAAAAGAAAAUAGGACGGACAUCUAGUGCUCGUCAAGUACUGGGAUUGGUGUAAUUAAUUAAUCACCCCCUUCCUAAUAUUCCUGGCUUUUACGCCAAAAUUUGAAAUUAUAUAGAUAGAUAGCUUAGGUAGGUAGGCAGGUGGGGUUACAGAAAUAAUAGACAUUCAUAAAAAAUUGAAAUAAACAAACAAAAGUAAAACGAGAAAACACUUUCUCCCGAGACUGGUUACACAGGCUCGAUAGCAAGAAUGAUAACAUAUAUCCGGUAGUUAGAUUAUUUGGGCAAAAUCCGGAAUCUGAGGAAAUUAGCUCGAAUGAAAAGUCAUGGAAGAAUUCUUGAGAAGGAGUGUAGAGUUUGAUGAUCUAAUGUCCGUUUGGGUCAUUAGCCUUCGUAUGUGAGUGGGAGGAGAAAAGAAAAUAGGGCGGACGUCUAUUCAAACCUUCGAUAUAAAUGAAAGCAGUUUUUUUUUUUUUUUAGAAAACUGAAAACCUCUGCCUGAAACUAUGGGCUGCCAGGAAUCGAACUGACGGUCGUACGAUCGUAAAAUGAAUACCUUAACCACUGUGCCAGACGUCUUCUCCAGAAAAUGUGCUGUUGUAUUAAUAUAUAGAUAUUUAUUAAAGGCGGCGAGCUGGCAGAAUCGUUAGCACACCGGGCGAAAAGCUUUGCGGUAUUUCGUCUGCCGCUACGUUCUGAGUUCAAAUUCCGCUGAGGUCGACUUUGCCUUUCAUCCUUUCGGGGUCGAUAAAUUAAGCACCAGUUACGUACUAGGGUCGAUGUAAUCGACUUAAUCCGUGUGUCUGUCCUUGCUUGUCCCUUCUGUGUUUAGCCCCUUGUGGGCAAUAAAGAAAUAAGAAUCGUUUGCUCGCCGGAAAAAAAUACUAAGCGACAUUUCUUCCGGGUCUUUACUUUAUGAGUUCAAAUUCCGCCGAGGUUCACUUUGCUUUCAUCCUCUCGGUGUUUAUAAAAUAAAUACCAAUUGGGUACUGGGGUCGAUGUAAUCGAUUAGCCGCUUUCCUCGAUAAUUUCAGAUUGUGUGUCUCUUGUAGAAAGAAUUUUUUCCUGUGAAAUAGAGGAAUGAAGCAACUCGAAAAGCUCGCUUUGCAACUAAGUGGCUUCGUCCCACUACGCGGCACUUUGGGCAAGUGUCACUCACUAUAGCCUCAAACCGGCACAGUGCUUUGUAAGUGAAAAUGGGGAUGGAAACUGCGUGGAUGCCCGUCGUAUCUAUCUAUCUAUCUGUCUAUCUGUCUAUCUGUCUGUCUGUCUGUCUGUCUGUCUGUCUCUUUCUCUCUCCUCCCUCUCCCCAUCCCCCCUCUCCCUAUAUAACCACCUAGCUAGCCAGUUAUAUAUAUGCUUGCUAGUUUUAAGCUUGCUAAUUAUAUGUGAAUAUAUGUGUGUAUGUCUCUGUAUUUCUCCGCUCAGUAUCCAGUGUUUGUUGUUUCGUUUACGUCUACUUAACAUGAUUCGACAAAGAAGUCCGAUGGGAUAAGAACUAGACUUACUCUUUUACUAACUUUUACUCUUUUACUUGUUUCAAUCAUUUGACUGUGGACAUGCUGGAGCACCGCCUUUAGUUGAGCAAAUCGACCCCAGGACUUAUUCUUUGUAAGCCUAGUACUUAUUCUAUCGGUCUCUUUUGCCGAACCGCUAAGUUGCGGGGACGUAAACACACCGGCAUCGGUUGUCAAGUGAUGUUGGGGGAACAAACACAUACACACAUACAUACACACAUACAUACAUACAUACAUACAUACAUACAUACAUACAUACACUCACACACACACACACAUAUACAUAUAUACGACGGGCUUCUUUCAGUUUCCGUCUACCAAAUCCACCCACAAGGCUGUGGUCGGCCCGAGGCUAUAGUAGAAGAUACUUACCCAAGGUGCCAUGCAGUGGGGACUGAACCCGGAACUAUGUGGUUGGUAAGCAAGCUACUUACCACACAGCCACUCAUACGCCUAUACUUGUAAAAAGAAAAACAGAAAAAAAAAAAAAGAACUGAGGUCGAACUGUUCGGCGAAACCCUUGAAGAUGGUGCUCCAACAUGGCCGCAGUUCAGCGACUGAAACAAGUAAAAGAUAAAAGAAUGAAAUGUGUAUUAUAAAAGUGCAUAUAAUCUUGAGGAUCUUUUUUCCCUCAAUCUCUUACUUCCCUUCUAAUCCUUUAUCUUUUCACCCUUCUUCGCUCACCUCAUAUCCUUCCCUACUCGGGUUUAUCAUGCAUUGUAAAUAUUCACUGAGGUCAAAAUAUGAUAAGUGAUCAACUUCCAGUAGUUUUGACCUUUUGCCGUUCGACAACAAAAUGGAGCUUAUUGGCCUAAAUUCUCUGUCUGUCGUUAUCUGUGUCUGUCUGUGUCUCUUAUUCUUUGUUUCAUUCAAUGUCUGUUUGUCAACUUGUCCUUUUGUCUCUCCCUGUCUUUCUCUCCCUGUCUUUCUCUCCCUGUCUUUCUCUCCCAUCUCUGACCUGGCAAUCACUCUCAUAACUGUACGCGCUCUGACAUACAAACAUAGACGUUCAUAUACACACUUGUGCAUAUUAUUUAUUAACUGCGGAGUUGCAUAAGUGACCCAAAUUACGGAGGCUCGGUUGAAGGCAUUGGCAAAGCGGUAAGUAACCUCGUGUGAGGCGGCGAACUGGCAGAAACGUUAGCGCGCCGGGCGAAAUGCUUAGCGGUAUUUCGUCUGUCGUUACGUUCUGAGUUCAAAUUCCGCCGAGGUCGACUCUGCCUUUCAUCCUUUCGGAGUCGAUAAAUAAAGUACCAGUUUCGCACUGGGGUCGAUGUAAUCGACUUAAUCCGUUUGUCUGUCCUUGUUUGUCCUCUCUGUGUUUAGCCCCUUGUAGGUAAUAAAGACAUAGGUAAGUAACCUCGUGCUAGAAAGUGGGUGGGGUGAGUGAGGGGCUCCCUUCCCAUGCUCCCUUCCCAUUGUGUAUGUAUUUGGAGCAUUCCAAGAAAAAAACAAGAGGGAAAUAUGAAAAUAAAAAUAAUAAAAUAAAAUGAAACGCAAUAUGAUAAAAUAUUUUAUUCUGACAUUUAAUAAAUUGCAAUAUAUGCAUUAUUUCUACUUUUGCAGUGUUUUCUGCUAGUCAUAUAUAUAUAUUCCGGUCUUUCAAAAUGUGACCUCGUGUGUACCGUUGUCGAUUUUUUUCCCUCUGUCUUCCCUUCUCUGGAUCUUUCCUUCUAUGUUUCCGAUGAAGAGCUCCACUCGAAACGUUAAACCCUCCUUCUUUCCUUCUUUCCUGAGCGUCCAAUAAUACUAUAUUUGUUCCACGUCCUCGCGUUGUGGUGUUUUUUUGUGCUUUCUUGUUUGGAUUAACUAUAUAUAUAUAUAUAUAUAUAUAUAUAUAUAUAUAUAUAUAUAUAUAUAUAUGAUAUAACUGUUGGUUCGAGGAGCAUAUAUUAACAGCGCCAAUGUGGGUGGGUUUACUGCUCUACACCAGGCAUGUAUUGAUGACAAAACUGACAUGGUGAAGUUUCUUGUUGAAAAUGGUGCUGAUGUUAAUGCCUGUGAUAAGGAAGGUUGGGCACUUCUCCAUGCUACAGCUUCUUGUGCCUUUACUGACAUAUCACAAUAUCUUAUCAGCACCAGUGCCAAUAUAGCUGCUGUUAACAAUGAUGGCGAUCUUCCUCUUGAUAUAUGUGAGGAAACCAAAAUGGAAAAGUUGCUUCUGGAAGAAAUGAAUCGCCCAGGUGUGGAUGCUAAAGCAGCACGGCGAGAAGAAGAAACGAUGCUUUCUGAUGCUAAUCAAUGGUUAAAUUCCAAUUGUGUGACAGAGCGGCCUCAUGCAAAAACAAGUGUUGUUUGCUCUUCAUGUAGCAGCCGCGAAUAGCUAUAUCAGAGUUAUGCAUUUAUUAAUCCAAACAAAAGCUAAUGAGAAUAUCAAAGACUCAGAUGGUUGGACUCCUCUUCAUGCAGCAGCUCACAGGGGCCAGGAAAAAGCUUGCAAAAUAUUAAGUUGGCAAUUUCUGUGAUAUGGACUCAAAAUACAAUGCAGGGCAAACUGCCUUUGAUGUUGCUGAUACUGGCAGAAACGUAGCCGUAUUUCGGUUGCCGUUACGUUGUGAGUUCGAAUUCCGCCGAGGUCGACUUUGCCUUUCAUCCUUUCGGGGUCGAUAAAUUAAGUACCACUUACGCCCUGGGGUCGAUGUAAUCGACUUAAUCCCUAUGUCCUUGUUUGUCCCCUCUGUAUUUAGCCCCUUGUGGGUAGUAAAGAAAUAGAUACUGAAUUUCUUUCUUUACUUGAAGAACUCAAAAAGAAACAAGCUUAGGAAUAAAACACCCGUACACAAAGAUAUUGUUGCUUAAGGAAUUCAUCCGAAACGAAGGACAUCUGUUACACGAAUGCGUGUAGAUAAUAAACACACUGUUGUCCUACAAACAUUAGAACAAGAAAAGGCACAACCUAAGAACUACAGAAAAGGUGAGGAAGCCAAAAAGUUCAAGUUCAACAAAUGGUGAGUCCAGUUCCGAGCCAGAGACAGAACGUCAAAAUGAAAUUAACAAGAACACAUCCAUCCCCCACACGAAUAAGCCAGACUCCCAGCAAACUCCAAGCAGUGUCUCAUCAGGAAAUGUUUCUGCUGAGUUCACAGUGACCGUGCUUCCAGAACCGCCAACAGAUGACAGAUUAUCCAGCCACUCGUCCAGCUAGAGCCGGUUUUCUAGUCCCUAUAGCUCUUUUACCAGGUAUUAUGUGUCUUACUAUUAUAGACUUAAAGAAAAACGUGCUGAAAAGCAGAACUCCACUGUCGACACAACCCAAGGUCUGAGAGUUUCGUGCGUUGAUACUUAAACUAAGGAGCGUCAUGGCAUAGUCAUUAGGGUGUUGUAGUCACGAUCAUAAGGCAGUGAGUUUAAUUCUUGGACCUGGCAGCGUGUUUUGAUUUUGUGUAUGCAGCCGUCUCUUCCUUUCGCUGUCACAUACUCAGUAUUCCACUGAGUCUAGAUUGGGGAGGACAGAGAUAGAGAGAGAAAGAGAGAGAGAGUGUGUGUGUGUGUAUACGUCUGCUCGCAACUACACAGGCACCUAAAAUAGUUAGCGAAAUGGUGCCACUUCUCAGCUUUUAUAUGUGUAUAUGUAUGUGUCUCUACGUGUUUGUGUGUGUGUGUGUGUAUUUGUGUUCAUGUUUCGCGUCCAUUCUGAGGUAGUGAUAACAAUCGAAAGAAGGCCGCAUUGUUACAGUUCUUAUGAUGACGAGGUCAAACUCAGAAGAAACCCAAACUCAGUCGAGAAUUUUACCACAGUGGCAAUGCUUACAACCUUUAACUGUCCCAGUUUCUGCCUCUUCAUCCACCUGCUAGUUCAGACUCUGAAGAUUAUAAAGGCGACAAACCCCAAGAAUUUUGUUAAGCUUACAGUUGGUAGAAAUUGAUGGGAAUUUUCUACCAAUAUUCUUUGUAUUGAUAUGAAUGUAUGCAUUCCGGAGCAGAGGUAUUGUUUGUAUUUAUUCCAGGGCAGUCUUUUCUGCGGACGGCAUUGUAUAUUGUUUUAGCAACAGUAUCACGUCUUAGUGGGAAGUAGUGUCACAAUGACAUUUUUGGACAGCUGUUGACUACAUGUGUUAUGUCCUCCAUAGUAGUGUGACGUAUUCGACAUUAGCAUUUGCAUGUUGGUAUUUUGCGCUGUCCCAUUUGUUCAAGAGUUAUUUCGCAGCUGUCUUCCGCUCUUGUUUUGUAAAGAUGUAGCCUUCGAGAUGUGAUGGUCAUGAGCUCAAGAAAGGCUAGACUUCAUCUAAAUAUUGAUUUCAAAAGGUAACUAACCCCAAAGCAAACUCUAAGAAUAACUUACACGGCUUAUUAAAAAAAGUAAUUAGAAAUCUAUCUACAGAAAACAAACUGAUGAGUAGCGAAAAAGUUUAGGCAGGGUCUCCAAGGGAAAUUUGAUAUGGUGUAACAAGACUAUUUUGUGGCUUCGGGAAGAGGGAAUAUCCAUAAAAUUUCAAUGGGUGCGAAGCCUGGGAAGCGGAUUGUCACUGAUCAGGGAGAUAGUCACAGAUCCCUCCUUGACUUACUGAAACCUAGAACGAUGGAUCAACUAAGUACCCCCACACACACUCUCUCACACCUGGCGUUAGGGUUUAUACAGGGUGUCCCAGAAUUAACUAUAUAUUUUAAUGAAAUCGGGCAAAUUUAAAAAAACAACUAACUACAUUUUAUGUUUAUUACUUAAUUAUAAUACCAAAGCAAAUAGAUUUAUUGGAAAUUUUCAACACGUGCCCGUCUGUAUCCCUGAAAAUUUCCAAUUUAUCCUUAGCGUUGCGAAACAUAUUUAAAAACAUUUUGGGAGUUAUCUCCUGCACUGCUAAUUGAAUGCGUUCUUUAGGUUCAGCUAAACUUAUUGCUCCAUCCUGGGGGAAGGGGAGGGGGUGAAGGUUCAGAAAAUGAUUGCAGCCAAAUUUUAAAAAAAAGCUGUCGUGGACAGUUGAUCGGGAUCCAACAGAAUUGAAAAUAAAAUGAAAAUAAAAUAAAUCAUAAAAUUAUAGAAAAAAAAAAUAAUAAAAAUUAUACAUUUUUAAAAGUAAAAUUAAGUAUAGGCGCAGGAGUGGCUGUGUGGUAAGUAGCUUGCUAACCAACCACAUGGUUCCGGGUUCAGUCCCACUGCGUGGCAUCUGGGGCAAGUGUAUUCUGCUAUAGCCCCGGGCCGACCAAUGCCUUGUGAGUGGAUUUGGUAGACGGAAACUGAAAGAAGCUUAAGAAGCUUAUAUAUAUAUAUAUAUAUAUAUAUAUAUGUGUGUGUUUGUGUGUCUGUGUUUGUCCCCCUAGCAUUGCUAGACAACAGAUGCUGGUGUGUUUAUGUCCCCGUUACUUAGCGAUUCGGCAAAAGAGACCGAUAGAAUAAGUACUGGGCUUACAAAAGAAUAAGUCCCGUGGUCGAGUUGCUCGAUUAAAGGCGGUGCUCCAGCAUGGCCGCAGUCAAAUGACUGAAAUAAGUAAAAGAGUAAAAGAGUAAAAAAGAGUAUUUAUACACUUUAAACACAUUUUAAACAUGAUAUACAUGAAUAAAUGUGAUUUAAAAAAAUUGUUCGAUUACUCUAAAAUAGAUAGUUAAUUCUGGGACAUCCAGUAUUUUCAAGAUAUAUAUAUAUAUUUCAAAAUAUAUAGGGCGGCGAGCUUGGCAGAAUCGUAAGCCCGCCGGGUGAAAUGCUUAGAGGUAUUUCGUCUGCCGCUACGUUCUGAGUUCAAAUUCCGCCGAAGUCGACUUUGCCUUUCAUCCUUUCGGGGUCGAUUAAAUAAAUACCAGUUACGCACCGGGGUCGAUAAAAUCGGCUUAAUCCGUUUGUCUGUCCUUGUUUGUCCUCUCUGUGUUUAGCCCCUUGUGGGCAGUAAAAAAAUAGAUAUAUAUAUAUUUCAAAAUAUAUAUUUUAAAUGAUGGAAGUACUAUAGGCUCCGAAGCAGUUAUUCAUGAAUAUUCUCCUUCACACUAGCUUUCGAAGAGAUUCUCACAUCAACAGGGAAGAUAAUGCCUGUACAUAGCCUUUUUUAAUUCUGACCUAAAUAACUAAAUCAGUUCUGUUAAGCUUACAGUUGGUAGAAAUUGAUGGGAAUUUUCUACCAAUAUUCUUUGUAUUGAUAUGAAUGUAUGCAUUCCGGAGCAGAGGUAUUGUUUGUAUUUAUUCCAGGGCAGUCUUUUCUGCGGACGGCAUUGUAUAUUGUUUUAGCAACAGUAUCACGUCUUAGUGGGAAGUAGUGUCACAAUGACAUUUUUGGACAGCUGCUGACUACAUGUGUUAUGUCCUCCAUAGUAGUGUGACGUAUUCGACAUUAGCAUUUGCAUGUUGGUAUUUUGCGCUGUCCCAUUUGUUCAAGAGUUAUUUCGCAGCUGUCUUCCGCUCUUGUUUUGCAAAGAUGUAGCCUUCGAGAUGUGACAUGAUGUAAUGGUCAUGAGCUCAAGAAAGGCUAGACUUCAUCUAAAUAUUGAUUUCAAAUUUUGGCAAAAUGCCAGCAAGUUUUGGAGAGGAAGUAAGUUAAUUACUUCAACCCCAGUACUCAACUGCUGCUUAUUUUAUCGAUCUCGAAAGGACGAAAGGCAAAGUCGACCUCGGCGAAACUUGAAUUUCGAACGUAAUGACGAAUGAAAUGCCGCUAAGCAUUUCGCCCGACGCGGUAAUAAUUCUGCCAGCUCACCGCCUUACACUUCAUAUUAAUAUUGGUUUCAAAUUUUGGCACAAGUUCAGCAAGAUUGGAGAAGGGAAUGAGUCAAUUAUAUCAACCCCAGUCCUUAACUGGUACUUAUCUUAUCAAUCCCGAAUGAAUGAAAGGCCAAGUCGACUUCCGCGCAAUUUGAACUCAGAACACGAAGACGGCGCGGUAACGAUUUUUCCAGCACGCCGCCGUAAACUUCAGAGUCAUAUUCUUUUCUACUCUAGGCACUAGGCCCGAAAUUUUGGGGCAGGUGGCCAGUCGAUUAGAUCGACCCCAGUACGCAUUUGGUACUUAAUUUAUCGACCCCGAAAGGAUGAAAGGCAAAGUCGACCUCGGCAGAAUUUGAACUCAGAACGUAACGGCAGACGAAAUACCUAUUUCUUUACUACCCACAAGGGGCUAAACACAGAGCGGACAAACAAGGACAGACGAACGGAUUAAGUCGAUUACAUCGACCCCAGUGCGUAACUGGUACUUAUUUAAUCGACCUCGAAAGGAUGAAAGGCAAAGUCGUCUCUGGCGGCAUUUGAACCAGAACGUAAAGACGGACGAAAUGCCGCUCAGUAUUUUACACGGCAUGCUAACGAUUCUGCCAGCUCACCGCCAAGUAUUAAAAUUAAAUAUUAAAUUGUAUGCCCAAGAAAAGGAUACGUCCAUCGUUAUCUGUGUCAAUGGAGACAUUAGUUAAUAUCUUUAAAGUAUGUCGAGAUUGACGAUUCAGAUGGUAUUUAAUCGAAAGAUUCCUAAUUAUAGUAAUGUACUUUCAUAGUGUAGACCAGUGGUUCUCUACCGGGGUUGAUAUGGCCCCUGAAAGUCCAUAAAAGAUUUUUGGGGGUCCAUACAACAAAAGAGUAAAUUGGGGAUCCAGAAUAAUAUUUUAAGGGUCCCUGAAAACAAUUUUACUUUAGAUGUAUGUGUGACGGUAAUGGUCAAAAUGGAUGAAAAAUGGUCGAGGACCCGUGGUGUAGACGGUAGAAACAUUCAAGUGUUUAAAACUGCUCCUACAAUACAAUGUCUACGGAUUGGAAAAAGGAACGUAGAGAAUAUUCUGCACAUGCAAAUCUCCAAACACCAGAACCUGAAAGUAACCCUUCACUAGCUGCCCACGUAUCUCUGUCUGAUAAUUACUCUCUUUACGUACCAAAUUAUGCCAGAGCCUGAAAGUAACCCUUCACUAGCUGCCCAUGUAUCUCUGUCAGAUAAUUACCCCCUUUACGUACCAAAUUAUGGUUAGAAAUCACAGACAACCAAAACGUACACCUUUAUUCGUAUUGUACGAAACUUAUAACUACUAAUCACUAAGUCUACCGUUAUAUCAUCAGGAAGCAUAAAGAUAAACUUCCCAGUAGUAGACUUAGUAAGGAUGUUGAGAUAUACACACCGCAUGUGACAACCCUGUCGACUAUCUCUUUCUAAGUCACGAGGCUCGCAUCCACGCUCAAAUAUACGCCGAAUGCUUCAAGCACCACUUCCUAGACAGGUAUCUGUCCAAGUGUAACUUCAUUUCCCCACUCGUAUCGGUCUCAAAAGCCACCCCGAUCCUCCCCCAAAGAAAGAAAGAAAAAAAAAAACAACACAAAAAUAAAACAAAAACAAAAAUACCCAAUUCGAUCAAAUUUACUACCAUGUGAUUGAGAAACAAACUGCUAGACUAUGCAGGCAUGCCUCUACUAUUUACUAACCGCGCCGGUCGUGUUUUAAAAAAAUCUUCGUAAAAUUGCUUUCGUAUUUCUCGUAAAUUUAGUACAUUUUUCAAUCUGGGAUUAUAUUGAUAAUUUGUGAUAAUUCUGUAGCUCAAACUGUAACUGAAGCUUUUUAUUAUAUUUUUGAUGUUUUGUUUUGGGCAUUUGUUGUAAUCGCAUUUUAAUUUUUAUUCUUCAGCAAAUAUAUAUAUAUAUAUCUCUAAAUGAUUUUUCUUUCCUUCGCAGGAACACGUAACGCUGAAAGCUUGAUGAUCCAAGGGAAAUAACUCAAGAACACUGCGGAAAAGCUAAUGAACUUUUUAAUUUUCAUUCUCUGCUUUAGUUCAAUAUCUAUGGACUCGCAACAAAAGAUAUAUUUGAUAUAAAAUUGUUUUGACUACUGUAGAACAAAUUAUAAAAAUGAAGAUAGCUCCUAGCGAGCAGAGUUCGUGACACGAUUUCAAUUCAUAAAAUGAAACCUUUUCAUUUCAUUUUCGCCGUCAAUGAUCUUGGAAAAAUAAGAAAAAUAUGAAACAUCUUAUUUUUUUCCUGCACCAUAACCUGAGAUCUUGUGCCUAGUCAAAAACAAUUCAAUGUUAAUAUAAGCAUUGGAUUCUGCAACUUACAGACAUGAACGAACUUUUAAUUUUAAAUAUUGUAAUUUUUUUUUAAAACAUGCUUUAAUCGAAUUUUCUUCAUUUUCAUAUUAAAAUCAACCGAUUUUUUUUUUUUUUGGUUAACAUAUAUAACUGAAUGAGGGGGGAAAAUAAGUGAAAUAAAUUGUUGCCGGUAUUAUUUUUAUAACUCUAGUUUUUUUUUAUUUAUUUUACUCGUAAAUUGUAAAGGGACAUAAUCUGGAUUGAACCAACCAAAUACACUAUUUUUGUUCGAUGUACCAAUUCCGUUUUGACCCAUCCAUCUGUCCGUCCGUCCGUCCGUCCGUCUAUCCAUCCAUCCGUCCAUCUCUUCUUCUUCUUCUUCUUCUUCUUCUUCUUCUUCUUCUUCUUCUUCUUCUUCUUCUUCUUCUUCUUCUUCUUCUUCUUCUUCUUCUUCUUCUUCUUCUUCUUCUUCUCCCUCCCUCUCUCCACACACACACACACACACAUCGCUGAAAAAAAAACCUAUCCCUUUCUUGCAAUACACACUAAUAAAUACAUCUAAAGCACACUUUUUUCAUGAGUCCUUGGACUACCAAAAAUCUUAUAUGAAUCCACAGGGGUUAUAUGGAUCCUGGUUGAGAACUACUUGUAUCAGUGGCGGCUCGUAGAUCAAAUUAGUUGGGGAGCCUUGCUGCUUCAGAAAAUGUUUAGCCAGUUGAACACCCGGCACUGUCAUUCACGCAGUGCUCUCUCUCCUUCACGUGAAGCUUCCUAUCUCGGACAUGUGACCAUGCGCACAACAGCCAAACACCGCGUCGCCGGAACUGUGAAGCGUACAGUUCUAAACAAGGAAUUUUGUAUUUUUUUUCAUAAACUAUGAAAUAGCUACUGACAUUAAGCUUAAGGAUUAUGUAAUGUACAAGU